CGAGUGGAGCGAGGGAGCGGCGCGAGCAGCAGCAUGACUCGGAGGCGGAGCAGGCCGAGCGGCGGCGCGGGCCGGCGCGAGCGGAUGCGGGCCGCGGGGCAGCAGAAGCCCCAGGCUCCCGAGCCCCCGCCGCCGCCGAGCCUGGAAGCGGGAGCGGGUGCAGGGCCCUCGGAGGCUCCCGUGGAACCGGACCGCGACGGCCCCAGGGAGGAGGACGAGCCCAAGUUGGCGCCUGGACCGCAGGUUCCCCCCACCUCCACCCAGUCUGUGCAGACUUGCUGCCUGCUAUGUCAUCGGGAACGCAAAGGCUGGGAAGAAGGCCCUUCCCAAAACGGACUGGUGUUGCAGGGUGAGAAGCUGCCCCCUGACUUCAUGCCAAAGCUUGUCAAGAAUCUCCUAGGCGAGAUGCCUCUGUGGGUCUGCCAGAGUUGCCGAAAGAGCAUGGAGGAAGAUGAAAGGCAGACAGGUCGAGAGCAUGCAGUGGCGAUCUCCUUGUCACACACAUCCUGCAAAUCACAGUCUUGUGGGGGUGACUCUCAUUCCUCUUCGUCCUCCUCUUCAUCGUCCUCGUCCUCCUCCUCCUGCCAUGGGAACUCAGGGGACUGGGAUCCCAGCUCCUUCCUGUCAGCACAUAAGCUCUCGGGCCUCUGGAACUCUCCGCACUCCAGUGGGGCCAUGCCGGGUAGCUCACUCGGGAGUCCUUCUACCAUCCCUGGUGAGGUUUUCUCUAUCUCGGAGCACCACCGGCACUCAGACCUCACUGCUCCACCUAACAGCCCCACCGGCCACCACCCCCAGCCAGCAUCGCUGAUCCCAUCUCACCCCGGAUCCUUCGGCUCACCACCCCACCCACACCUGCUGCCUGCUACCCCGGCAGCGCCUUUCCCUGCCCAGGCUUCAGAAUGCCCUGUUGCCGCUGCUGCCACCCCCCACACCCCAGGGGCAUGUCAGACCCCCCACCUGCCCUCCACCAGCAUGCCGCUCCUGAAGAUGCCUCCACCAUUCUCGGGGUGCAGCCACCCCUGUAGUGGGCACUGCAGCGGGCACUGCAGCGGGCCUCUCCUCCCACCUCCCAGCUCUCAGCAGCUCCCUAGCACUCACAGCAGGGACCCCGGGUGCAAGGGACACAAGUUUACACACAGUGGUCUGGCCUGCCAGCUGCCCCAGCCCUGCGAAGCAGAUGAGGGCCUGGGUGAGGAAGAGGACAGCAGCUCAGAGCGCAGCUCCUGCACCUCAUCCUCCACUCACCAGCGAGAUGGAAAGUUCUGUGACUGCUGCUACUGUGAGUUCUUCGGCCACAAUGCGCCACCCGCUGCCCCGACGAGUCGGAAUUAUACAGAGAUCCGAGAGAAGCUCCGCUCGAGGCUGACCAGGCGGAAAGAGGAGCUGCCCGUGAAGGGGGGCGCCCUGGGCGGGAUCCCUGGGGAGCCCGCCGUGGACCACCGAGAUGUGGAUGAGCUGCUGGAAUUCAUCAACAGCACGGAGCCCAAAGCCCCCAACAGCGCCAGGGCCGCCAAGCGGGCCCGGCACAAGCUGAAAAAGAAGGAAAAGGAAAAGGCCCACUUGGCAGCAGAAGCUCUAAAGCAGGUGAAUCGUAGUGUUUCUGGAAGCCAGGAGCCAAGGCCUGCCAGGGAGAGGCUCUUGGAGUGGCCCGACCGGGAGCUGGAUCGGGUCAACAGCUUCCUGAGCAGCCGUCUACAAGAGAUCAAGAACACUGUCAAGGACUCUAUCCGUGCCAGCUUCAGUGUGUGUGAGCUCAAUAUGGACAGCAAUGGAUUCUCUAAGGAGGGGGCUGCUGAGCCAGAGCCCCAGAGCCUAUCCCCCUCAAACCUCAAUGGCUCCUCAGAGCAACGGCCUGAUAUUAACCUUGACCUAUCCCCUUUGACUUUGGGGUCCUCUCAGAACCACACGUUACGAGUUCCAGGUGAGCCGGCCCCACCAUGGACAGAAAUGAGAGGCUCUCACCCACCAUGGACAGAGGUGAGGGGGCCCCCUCCCGGUAUCAUCCCUGAGAAUGGGCUAGUGAGGAGACUCAACGCUGUGCCCAACCUUUCCCGGGUGAUCUGGGUCAAGACACCCAAGCCAGGCAACCCUAGCCCUGAGGAGCCAAGCCCAAAGGAGGUUCCCAGUUAUAAGCAGGAGCUGCCCGAGCCUGUGGCCUCAAGUGGGAAGCCUCGGAAGGGCAAGAGACAGGGCAGUCAGGCCAAGAAGAAUGAGGCAAGCCCAGCCCCCCGGUCCCCAGCCAGCCUAGAGGCUCCCAGUGCCAAGGGCCAGACCCCCAGCUCCAAGCAGCCGGGCAAGGCCCCGGAGCUUCCCAAAGUGGGCAGCUGUGCCGAGGCUGGAGAGGGGAGCCGGGGAAGCCAACCGGGACCAGGCUGGGCUGGCAGCCCCAAAGCCGACGAGAAGGGCAGCUCCUGGCGGAACUGGCCAGGUGAGGCCAAAGCACGGCCUCUGGAGCAGGAGUCUGUGCAGCCCCCAGCCCCAGCAAGGCCACAGAGCUUGCCACAGGGCAAGGGCCGCAGCCGCCGGAGCCGCAACAAACAGGAGAAGACGGCCGCCUCCUUGGACGAUGUGUUCCUGCCCAAGGACAUGGAUGGGGUGGAGAUGGAUGAGACUGACCGGGAGGUGGAGUACUUCAAGAGGUUCUGUUUGGACUCUGCAAAGCAAACUCGUCAGAAAGUUGCUGUGAACUGGACCAACUUCAGCCUCAAGAAAACCACUCCCAGCACAGCUCAGUGAGGUCCUUUUGUGUGAAAUGCUGACAUAUCAGAUGACGCUGUGGACUGAGAACAGAAGACUAAGAAGCCACUGGACUGAGCACCAUAGUGCAGGAGAGAAGAGUGACUGGCCCACAGGCCUUGGUGCCCGGUUUGCAGCCUGAUGGCUGUGCAGUGCCCUAUCUUAACCCUGUGCUCUGUCCCUGGGAUCAGGCCUUUUCUGCCUGGUCACACAACUGCCUUUAAAGCACAGGAAACUGGGGCAGCAGGAGAGCAAAGGCCAGAGUCGGGGCUCUUACCCCACCCUGGAUGGGAUAGACGUGCUACUGGGGAGCUGUCCCCUGGCAGGGUCUCAACCUGCAUCCUCUGCUGAAGCCCCCUGCCAGGUCGAGCUGCUUCAGGGUGUCCUGAGAACCCCC